rnacentral:rRNA from 1 species
GACGAACCGUGCGAACGUUAUUCGGAAUCAUUGGGCUUAAAGCGCGUGUAGGCGGAUUCGUGCGUCUGUCGCUGAAAUCCCCCGGCUCAACCGGGGAAGUGGCGUGGAUACGACGAGUCUGGAGGGGCAUAGGGGGACCUGGAACUUCCGGUGGAGCGGUGAAAUGCGUUGAGAUCGGAAGGAACGCCCGUGGCGAAAGCGAGGUCCUGGAUGCCUACUGACGCUGAGACGCGAAAGCGUGGGGAGCGAACAGG